GAUGAACGCUAGCUAUAGGCUUAACACAUGCAAGUCGAGGGGCAGCGAAUCGAUAGCUUGCUAUUUAUGUCGGCGACCGGCGCACGGGUGAGUAACGCGUAUCCAACCUGCCCAUAACUAAGGGAUAACCCAGCGAAAGUUGGACUAAUACCUUAUGUAUUCGUUUGAUCUCAUGAGAUUACGAAUAAAGAUUUAUCGGUUAUGGAUGGGGAUGCGUCUGAUUAGCUUGUUGGCGGGGUAACGGCCCACCAAGGCAACGAUCAGUAGGGGUUCUGAGAGGAAGGGCCCCCACAAUGGAACUGAGACACAGUCCAAACUGCUACGGGGGGCUGCGGUGAGGAAGAUUGGGCAAGAAACGAAGAUCAGAACCAGCCAAGUAGGAGGCAGAAAGACGGGCUUGUGAGUGAUCGACUGCUUGUAUAUGGGGGUGAAGUGGGGAGCGUGUAUGGUUUUGAAGGUACCAUAUGAAUAAGGACCGGCUAAUUCCGUG
rnacentral:rRNA from 1 species